AGGUGUGUAUAAAUUAAUAUAAUGAUUACUAAAUAUGUGUUGCACUGUCAUGGGGUGUCAGGGGUCGGAGGUUCAAAUCCUCUCACACCGACCA
rnacentral:tRNA from 1 species